UGUCCAGGGAUGGGAAUCGAACCCACAGUGUUCCGCUUACCGGGCAGAUGCCAUGUCCACUAGGCUACCCUAAU